AAUAUAUUUAAUAUAAUAAAUUAAUAUACAGAAUAUGAUAUAAAAUCAUAACAAAUAUAUAAAUAAUACUAAAUGUAUUUUAUUAUUCUUGUCGCAUGGCACUAAACAGGUAAAGAGACAGAAACAAGGACGACUUGUCCUGUCAGUUGAUGUACCAAACACAGCACUAUGAUCUCAAUGCACAAGCUGAAUAGUUUUUGUACCAUUUGCUAUGGAACUAAUUAUAGAUUUCAAAGGAACGAGCAAUUGACCAUUGGCAUUUCUAUUUCGUUAAAUGCAAUAGCAAAAAGUGAACAUCUUAAUCAAAAUAGAUGAAUUGACAGAAUGAAAGACAAGAAUAAAAAAGCUAGUAUUUCCUUGUUCUUGAAGUGUACGUGGCAAUGCUCUAAGAUACCAAGAAUGUAUAAAGUGGAAAAACGCACGUAGGCAUACCUCAAACUCAAGAAAUUGCUUUUCUUUUUGAGACAUCUCAAUGUGGCAAGUGGUUUAACUUGCAAAGAGAGGGCCUCAAAAUAAAAUUCAGUCAGUCACUCUUGAAUCAAGAUUAUGAUUCCUUGGAAAUCUAUGUGAGUAACAAGUUCCAAAAAUUAUUACCACUAUGGAUAAUUACAAAGGGUACUCACAUAUGAGGUAGGACACUUCCAAAA
rnacentral:misc_RNA from 1 species